UCAGGAUGAACGCUAGCGGCAGGCUAACACAUGCAAGUCGAGGGCAACGCGAGUAGCAAUACUUGGCGGCGACCGGCGCAAGGGUGCGUAACGCGUGAGCAACAUGCCCGUAUCAGGGGGAUAAUCCAGGGAAACUUGGUCUAAUACCCCAUAGUAAUUUUGUAAGGCAUCUUAUAAGAUUUAAAGCUUUGGUGGAUACGGAUUGGCUCGCGUGACAUUAGCUGGAUGGUAAGGUAACGGCUUACCAUGGCUAUGAUGUCUAGGGGUUCUGAGAGGAAGGUCCCCCCACACUGGAACUGAGACACGGUCCAGACUCCUACGGGAGGCAGCAGUGAGGAAUAUUGGACAAUGGAUGGAAAUCUGGAUCCAGCCAUGCCGCGUGAAGGAAAGAAGGUCCUAUGGAUUGUAAACUUCUUUUGUAUGGGAGCAAUAAGGCCUACGUGUAGGUUGAUGAGAGUACCAUACGAAUAAGCACCGGCUAACUCCGUGCCAGCAGCCGC
rnacentral:rRNA from 1 species